AUUGAACGCUGGCGGAAUGCUUUACACAUGCAAGUCGAACGGCAGCACGGGUGCUUGCACCUGGUGGCGAGUGGCGAACGGGUGAGUAACAUAUCGGAACGUACCCAGUAAUGGGGGAUAACUAACCGAAAGGUUAGCUAAUACCGCAUACGCCCUGAGGGGGAAAGCGGGGGAUCGAAAGACCUCGCGUUAUUGGAGCGGCCGAUAUCUGAUUAGCUAGUUGGUGAGGUAAAGGCUCACCAAGGCGACGAUCAGUAGCAGGUCUGAGAGGAUGAUCUGCCACACUGGAACUGAGACACGGUCCAGACUCCUACGGGAGGCAGCAGUGGGGAAUUUUGGACAAUGGGGGAAACCCUGAUCCAGCCAUUCCGCGUGAGUGAAGAAGGCCUUCGGGUUGUAAAGCUCUUUCGGCAGGGAAGAAACGGUUCUGGAUAAUACCCGGAGCUAAUGACGGUACCUGAAGAAGAAGCACCGGCUAACUACGUGCCAGCAGCCGCAGUAA
rnacentral:rRNA from 1 species